UGGGGGCGUAGCUCAGUUGGGAGAGCACCUGCCUUGCAAGCAGGGGGUCAAGAGUUCGAAUCUCUCCGUCUCCAU
rnacentral:tRNA from 2 species